rnacentral:rRNA from 1 species
GAUGAACGCUGGCGGCGUGCCUAAUACAUGCAAGUCGAGCGAAUGGAUUAAGAGCUUGCUCUUAUGAAGUUAGCGGCGGACGGGUGAGUAACACGUGGGUAACCUGCCCAUAAGACUGGGAUAACUCCGGGAAACCGGGGCUAAUACCGGAUAACAUUUUGAACCGCAUGGUUCGAAAUUGAAAGGCGGCUUCGGCUGUCACUUAUGGAUGGACCCGCGUCGCAUUAGCUAGUUGGUGAGGUAACGGCUCACCAAGGCAACGAUGCGUAGCCGCCGGGAGAGGGUGAUCGGCCACACUGGGACUGCGACACGGCCCAGACGCCUACGGGAGGCAGCAGUAGGGAAUCUUCCGCAAUGGACGAAAGUCUGACGGGGCAACGCCGCGUGAGUGAUGAAGGCUUUCGGGUCGUAAAACUCUGUUGUUAGGAAAAAACAAGUGCUAGUUAAAUAAGCUGGCACCUUGACGGUACCUAACCAGAAAGCAACGGCUAACUACGUGCCAGCCGCCGCGGUAA